CGGAGGCAGCAGUGGGGAAUUUUUCGCAAUGGGGGCAACCCUGACGAAGCAACGCCGCGUGGGUGAUGAAGUAUCUCGGUACGUAAAACCCUUUCGACGGGGAAGAAACCGCAAGGUUGACGGUACCCGUAGAAGAAGCCCCGGCUAACUCCGUGCCAGCAGCCGCGGUAAUACGGGGGGGGCAAGCGUUGUUCGGAAUUACUGGGCGUAAAGGGCGCGUAGGCGGUUUGCUAAGUUGACUGUGAAAACUCUGGGCUUAACCCAGAGCCUGCAUUCAAUACUGGCAGGCUAGAGUUCUGGAGGGGAUAGCGGAAUUCCUGGUGUAGCGGUGAAAUGCGUAGAUAUCAGGAGGAACACCGGUGGCGAAGGCGGCUAUCUGGACAGAGUCUGACGCUGAGGCGCGAAAGCUAGGGGAGCAAACAGGAUUAGAUACCCCGGUAGG
rnacentral:rRNA from 1 species